CCAGGGGACAACACACAGUUCAUUGAUUGGCUGCAGGUUUAGGGGGGGCAGCACGCCACACAACCAGAACACAACGGACCACAGAGACCACUGUGGACACACAAUACAAUGAUGAGAUGCAGAUACCGAAAUGGGUCCACAAGGACCACACCCACCCAAUAGGAGGGUGGGCAGAUAACCUACCAACUAGAUGGAACAACCACUAGAACUUAG